AGCACCUUAUUCCGUCAUAUUGUCUCUGGAUUAAAUGUAUUCCUAAUGUCACUUUUAUAAACAAAUAGAAGUUAAAACUUUACAAUAUUAUUGUAAAUUUGCAAUUGGAAGCUGCAAAAGGGACAUUAGAAUGUCAGCAAGGAUUUGAGUUUUGACCUCACAACUAAUCUGCAAAAUGAAGAAGCAACAUAUUUUGUUACCGCUUAGAAGAAACAAUAGAAAUAGUACUGUGGAUUGAUAAAUAAAGAGUGAAAAUAAGGUU